rnacentral:rRNA from 1 species
ACGAACGCUGGCGGCGUGCCUAAUACAUGCAAGUCGAGCGGAAUGAUGAAGAAGCUUGCUUCUUCUGAUUUUAGCGGCGGACGGGUGAGUAACACGUGGGCAACCUACCUUGUAGAUUGGGAUAACUCCGGGAAACCGGGGCUAAUACCGAAUAAUCCAUUUUGCUUCAUGGCGAGAUGUUAAAAGGCGGCUUCGGCUGUCACUACGAGAUGGGCCCGCGGCGCAUUAGCUAGUUGGUAGGGGUAAUGGCCUACCAAGGCGACGAUGCGUAGCCGACCUGAGAGGGUGAUCGGCCACACUGGGACUGAGACACGGCCCAGACUCCUACGGGAGGCAGCAGUAGGGAAUCUUCCACAAUGGACGAAAGUCUGAUGGAGCAACGCAGCGUGAGUGAAGAAGGUUUUCGGAUCGUAAAACUCUGUUGUAAGGGAAGAACACGUACGAGAGUAACUGCUCGUACCUUGACGGUACCUUACUAGAAAGCCACGGCUAACUACGUG